CUUAGCUCAGAUCCAAUCGCCGCUCUGCUCUCUUUCCCUCCCCUCGCCCCUCCAGUCCUCCCAUGCACGUCUGUCUUGAAUCCACCCUCUGCUCCCAUCCGGCCUGCGGCCUCCCCCCAAACGUGCUCUCCAGAUCGCGCGGCACGCCGCCAUGCUACACCCGCGGGGAGCGGUUGGCCGGCCUCGGGCUCGCCACCAGCUCGCCACCACCACCAUGCACGAUGGCGGCAUAGUCCAGGCGCUGGAGGGGCGAUCGGGCAGCGGGCAACUAGGAGGGCCUCGUGAGGGCAGCGCUCGAGCGGGAUGGGGCACCACCACACCCACGCUAGCCGCGGAGGGGUCGGAGGGCUCGGGCUAGCCGCCGCCGUGCCGGCCUUGCUUGACCGGGCCACCAACAGGCCACCAAUGACAUCGAGGAUCCCAACGUCGUGCGGAUCUCAGGGGUUUCGACUUUGGAGUUCAGAGUGUGGCAUUUAGCAUCCUGCUUUGUGUCAGUUCUGCUGAAAAUCCGUAUCAACUUUGGUAUACCCCCAACAGAUUGUGGUCCUUGAGGAACCCUUACUUAAAAAGAGAAGUUACUGCAAAGAGGAAGCAAGGAGGGAGGUGAGGGAUCAUUUGCCCCUUUGCAGGAAGCAUGGAGGGAGGUGAGGGACUGAGGACCACGGCCAAAAGGAUGUUUGUUGUAGGCGGCAUGUGAAAAGAACAAAGGCAACAAAGUUAUAGUUGUCCAAUCUGUAGAUCAUUGCUGUACUUUGCUGAAAUGUGAAGGUGAAUGAUUUUGUUACUUACAUCAGAUCAUUAGGAGUGGACAGAAGAUGGUCUACGUGAUGAGGACAUGACACCCAUGCAUACGACCAUGUUUGGCACAUGGUAUAGAGGGGAAAGAGGCCACCAAGGGUGUCCAAGUCAAGAAGGAGGCCCGAGGCUAAUUCGGUUCGAGUCUCCGAGGUGGAGGCCCAAAACAACUCAAGUUCAAGCCCGUCUCGGAGUCCAGGAGCAGCACGUACUAAAAAUGACGCCUAGGUCGCAUAUGGUGUCCGUUUUGGGCUUUCUUUAUAUGGAUGGAAACAAAAUUUCAUGGAGCUUCCAAUGGAACUGUUCCCACCUUAAAAUUCGAUUGGAGUCAAUGGAAAUCGAUGAAACAAGUGGAUAUCCAGAAUAUGUCAGGUGACGCCACCGUCUUUUGGGCCAUUGGCCCGUGUAUCGUGUUGGAGUCUAUAGGGGCGCAUCCAGGGGGGUCUCUAUGACCUAACCCUCAUAAAUUCAGUAGCUGUCACCACAUUAGGGUUUGGAUUUUGUUUAGUUCAGGUUUUCCUUUGAGAAACUGAGAUUGAUUCGUUGUAACUAUGACGAUAAGUCCUUUUACAGUGAUCCAGGGCCCUUGUUCUUGUUCUCCU